rnacentral:rRNA from 1 species
UACAGAGGUCUCAAGCGGUGUUCGGAUUCAUUGGGCGUAAAGGGUGCGUAGGUGGCGCGGUAAGUCGGGUGUGAAAUUUCGGAGCUUAACUCCGAAACUGCAUUCGAUACUGCCGUGCUUGAGGACUGGAGAGGAGACUGGAAUUUACGGUGUAGCAGUGAAAUGCGUAGAGAUCGUAAGGAAGACCAGUGGCGAAGGCGGGUCUCUGGACAGUUCCUGACACUGAGGCACGAAGGCCAGGGGAGCAAACGGG